GGGAGGCAGCAGUGGGGAAUAUUGGACAAUGGGCGAAAGCCUGAUCCAGCCAUGCUGCGUGUGUGAAGAAGGUCUUCGGAUUGUAAAGCACUUUAAGUUGGGAGGAAGGGCAUUAACCUAAUACGUUAGUGUUUUGACGUUACCGACAGAAUAAGCACCGGCUAACUUCGUGCCAGCAGCCGCGGUAAUACGAAGGGUGCAAGCGUUAAUCGGAAUUACUGGGCGUAAAGCGCGCGUAGGUGGUUUGUUAAGUUGAAUGUGAA
rnacentral:rRNA from 1 species